rnacentral:rRNA from 1 species
AACGAACGCUGGCGGCAGGCCUAACACAUGCAAGUCGAGCGCGCCCUUCGGGGUGAGCGGCGGACGGGUGAGUAACGCGUGGGAACGUGCCCUUUUCUACGGAAUAGCCUCGGGAAACUGAGAGUAAUACCGUAUACGCCCUUUGGGGGAAAGAUUUAUCGGAAAAGGAUCGGCCCGCGUUGGAUUAGGUAGUUGGUGGGGUAAUGGCCUACCAAGCCGACGAUCCAUAGCUGGUUUGAGAGGAUGAUCAGCCACACUGGGACUGAGACACGGCCCAGACUCCUACGGGAGGCAGCAGUGGGGAAUCUUAGACAAUGGGGGCAACCCUGAUCUAGCCAUGCCGCGUGAGUGAUGAAGGCCUUAGGGUUGUAAAGCUCUUUCAGCUGGGAAGAUAAUGACGGUACCAGCAGAAGAAGCCCCGGCUAACUCCGU